UGCGGGCGACGCGGGCGGCGAUACUGGGCGUAAGGAGCGUGAAGAGGGCGUGGAACGCCGCCGCGGAAAAUCCGCUGAGAAUGGCCGCGGCCGCCGUGCCCGAAAGAACGGCGGAAGAGGCCUUGAGGUCGAUUCAAGCCAGGAGCCAGUGG
rnacentral:rRNA from 1 species